rnacentral:rRNA from 1 species
CCCGUGAGGAAAGUUGCAAAGAACUUUGAAGAGAGAGUUCAAGAGGGCGUGAAACCGCUGAGAUGGAAACGGAUAGAGUUAACGAAACUCGGCGGCAUUCAACUGGUCAGCCUAGCGGCCUUGCGGAUUUGUGCCUCGAUGAGGGCAGAGACGUGAGUGUCUGUUGGGCAUCGGCUAGUGUAUUUGCCGUCGGUAUGCGCUGAGAGCCUCGGCUUCGUGCGUUGACGCUCAUGUAGUGGACCACUCCUUCCGGGCGUGGAACCCUGCGUGGGUUGAGACACAUCGGUGCUGGGGUUUGCUUAUCGUCUCCGCUUCGCGCAACGGUCGCUACGUGUUUGGCGCUGCUGUUGGACGGUCGCAUGCGACUUGUCUACAGUUGGUGCUGAUCCGCGGUGAUGCAGUUGCGUUGAGACGCUUAUCUCGGUGUGAAAGUUGACCACCUAUCCGACCCGUCUUGAAACACGGACCAAGGAGUCUAGCAUAUGCGCGAGUCAUUGGGUGGUAAACCUAAAGGCGUAAUGAAAGUAAAGGUCGCCUCGAUGCGGCUGAUAUGGGAUCUGUGCGGUUUCGACUGCGCGGCGCACCAUAGCCCCGUCCCCGUUGCUUGCAAUAGGGCGGAGGUAGAGCGCAUACGCUGGGACCCGAAAGAUGGUGAACUAUGCCUGAGCAGGAUGAAGCCAGAGGAAACUCUGGUGGAGGUCCGAAGCGGUUCUGACGUGCAAAUCGAUCGUCUGACUUGGGUAUAGGGGCGAAAGACUAAUCGAACCAUCUAGUAGCUGG